rnacentral:lncRNA from 1 species
UGGAGACCAGGUGGAAGGUAAGAUCUUUGAUUUUCCGAAGGAGAAGACCAGCCACUUUUCAGAGAUUCAGAUUCAGGCACUCUCUGGACUUCAUUAAGAAUGGGUCUCCGUGGCUGAAGAGCAGAUCAGUGUUGUGCUUCGGCAGUGGGUUGUAUCUGCCCAGAAAAGGUCUGAAUUCAGUGAUAUGCCCUUGUGGAACCAAUCACCAGAAAAGGAUGGAAAUGAGAUUACCUUUGGAACACUGUGAAGCUGGGAAUGAGAUCAAAUUUCCCUUAUGGGCUACCUGGAGGAGAAAGUAUUUCCUUGA